ACAUCAACAUAACCUUUUCUAUAAAUCCAUGCGUGAAUUAUUAAAAUAGGAAUUUUCAGUUCUGCAGUAGCAGAACUACCUCGGGAUUCAAUAUUGAAAUAAUAGAACUACCUGUUAGUCCAAUAGCUAACAAA